GACGAACGCUGGCGGCGUGCUUAACACAUGCAAGUCGAACGAUGAUCUCCCGCUUGCGGGGGUGAUUAGUGGCGAACGGGUGAGUAAUACGUGAGUAACCUGCCCUUGACUCUGGGAUAAGCCUGGGAAACCGGGUCUAAUACUGGAUACUACUUCCUGCCGCAUGGUGGGGGGUGGAAAGGGUUUUACUGGUUUUGGAUGGGCUCACGGCCUAUCAGCUUGUUGGUGGAGUAAUGGCUCACCAAGGCGACGACGGGUAGCCGGCCUGAGAGGGUGACCGGCCACCCUGGGACUGAGACACGGCCCAGACCCCUACGGGAGGGAGCAGGGGGGAAUAUUGCACAAUGGGCGGAAGCCUGAUGCAGCAACGCCGGGGGAGGGAUGACGGCCUUCGGGUUGUAAACCUUUUUCGGCAGGGAAGAAGCCACAAGUGAGGGUACCUGCAGAAGAAGCGCCGGCUAACUACGU
rnacentral:rRNA from 1 species